rnacentral:siRNA from 1 species
UUCAAAUUGUGCUGACGCAUAUA